CUAACAUUUGGUUCUAAACGAAGACACACUAACAUUUAGAUGUACACACAGACACACUAACAAUUAGAUGUACACACAGACACAUCCUGAUGAUCCUCCUCACGUCUCUUCUCCUUGUCUGCAGACCAACAGGACGCCAUCAGGACGCCAUCAGGACGCCACGUCAUCGGGACGCCAUCAGGAAACCACGUCAUCGGGACGCCAUCAGGACGCCAUCAGGACACCUCGUCAACCCCUCAGGAGCAAAUCCAGAUCUACUCAUGACACACACACACACACACACACACACACACACACACACAGAUGUACUCACAGACACACUAACAUUUGGUUCUAAACAAAGACACACACUAAUAUUUAGAUGUACACAAAGACACAUUAAUAUUUAGAUGUACACACAGACACACUAACAAUUAGAUGUACACACAUACACACUAUCAUUUGGUUCUAAACAAAGACACACACUAAUAUUUAGAUGUACACAAAGACACAAUAACAAUUAGAUGUACACACAGACACAUUAGUAUUCAGAAUUACACAAAAACACACAAACAUCUGGUUCUGCACAAAAACACAUUAAUAUUUAAAUGUACCCACGGACCCACUAACAAUUAGAUCCACACACAGACACACUAACAAUUAGAUGUACACACGGACACAUCCUGAUGAUCCUCCUCACGUCUCUUCUCCUUGUCUGCAGACCAACAGGACGCCAUCAGGACGCCACGUCAUCGGGACGCUACGUCAUCGGGACACACUAACAAUUAGAUGAACUGCUUCAGAUGUUUUCCCAAUGAUUGUGUUAUUAUAAUUGUUAAAUAUGUCGUCUGUUUAUUAUUUUAACAAUGAAAAUAAAUUUUAAUAAAAA
ensembl:lncRNA